GUUGUGAUGCAGGGACAGAAAAUUCAGAAUGCCACAUUCUUGGCCUCAUUUCUCUGGGUGGCCUACCCAAGAGCUUCAAGAAAAACAGUUUAAGAAAAUGCUAACUUCAGCAAUAUUGGCAAGACAAAGCCCCUUACACUCCUUAGUUCUUUAUUCAGCAUUGUUCUGCUCUCAUUUAUUAAAAAUUCCAAGUACCAUUGUCAGUAUUCUUCAGAAAAUCUUAUAGUGCUAUCUCAUUUCUCUUGGCAAAAGAAAGCCUGUUGUGCAACCCAAUAAAUUUAAAGUAUUGGUGUGGCAUUUCAGCAAAUGUUGUUUUCAUUUGUUUUAACCACCAGCCAAGGAACAAAGCAAUCUGUCUCUUCAAUAUAAUUACACAGGUGACUAAGUGUCACCCACUUCCACCUUCUCUAAUCAAGGAAAUGUUGAUGAUCAGGUUCCUAUAGAUUCCUUAUAAGGUGCCUUCAUAAUGGAUAACUGUAGCCAUUUUAUGUAAGCAUUGUCCUGUGAUU
rnacentral:lncRNA from 1 species